GGCUUCACUGUCAGAGCGACUCCUUUCGGCUCCUUGGCAACAUUGACGCUUGUUGAUGACAGACGCUACAACAUGUGCAGAUGACAGGCACACAACUGGACAUAUUUCAGCAAAUAAACCGAUAACAUGCGGGAAUUGAGUGUCAUUUAACUUCUCGAAGGAAUGUGUUUGGACCAUUAUAUCCAGUCAUCAGAAGCAGAGCUGUGGGACGUGUGGACAUACAUUGACUGUAAUGAUGGACGUCUCCUGAUGGACAGCAUAACCCCUGUGGCUGACUGUCCCAGAAGCUCCGGGGGGAGACCGUACUGGUAUCCCCCUCCUUUGGGCACGACACUCACACAACAUCCACUGGUAUUGCAGAGAUCUGACCGGGAUCAAACCAGCAACCUCUGAACCCGUGAGGCAGCGCUCUUACCUGUGAGCCACAGAUCUCUUGCUGAGACAUGUGCUGGAACUUAUAUUUCACUGUUAUCCCGAGAGUUUCCAAUAAAGCAGUUAAAGUGA